UUCUGGGGAGGCCUGAGGAAACUUAGAACCAUGGGGAAAAGCAAAGGGAAAGAAGUCCCAUCUCACAUGGCAGCAGCAGGAGCCAGAAAGAGAGAGGGAAUGUGCCACACACCUCUAAACAACCAGACCUCAUGAGAACUCACUAUCCUGACGACACCACCGAGGAGAUAGUGCUAAACCGUGAGAAAACGCCCCCAGGACGCAAUUCCCCCCUCCAGGCCCCACUUCCAGCGCUGGGGAUUACGUUUUGACAUGAGAUUUCUGCAGAGACGCAGAUCCAAACCAUAUCAAAGUGUGAAGUGAAUCUGGUGGACCACUGUGGGCUUUGAAGAUGGAACAGACCACGUGGAGGGCGUGGAGGGUACAGCACUCUCUGUGAACUGAGAGUGGCCCUGGCUGACAGCCGGUGUGGAAAUAAGGACCUCAGAUCACUGGCAAUAAGAAACUGAAUGCCACAAACAACCUGAGUAUGCCUGAAAGUGGAUUCUUCCCCAGAGCCUUCUUCUAGCACGGGGCCCAGUACACACAUCGCUUUCCCCUUGUGAUAACUAAGGAGAGAACCGGAGACCUCCCCACUUCUGGCCGGACCUCAGCAGAACAAUACGAACCCCUGGCAUAAGCAGGCUUGUGAACACAAGGAACUCUCUUACCACUGCCACCUUAUCUACUGCCUCUUUGUGAAGACAAUUUCUGAACUGGUGAGAGCAGUGUGAGUGCCCUCAAGUAGCCUGCUGCCUGAGGUCCGCAUGCAACCUGCC
rnacentral:lncRNA from 10 species